UGUACUUAGAUAUUGUUGCUUCCGCUGACUCGUUUGUGUAUCGAGCUUAUGUAUUCGAGCCCUCGAGGCCCCUGGCUUGUAAUAUGAAGCUUGUAUGUCUUUCAUUUGUGUCUAGAGUUGUGUUGUGAUAUCUUCCCGUGAGUCCCUGAUCUUGAUCGUACACAUUUACGUGUAUGAUUAGUGUACGGUCGAAUCGGCGGCGUCACACAUGCUUUGAAUUGCAUCACCUACAGAGGUAGGUUUGAUACGUCACACAUGCUUUGAAUUGCAUCACCUACAGAGGUAGGUUUGAUACCUCAUCGAAUAUUCUGUUUUAGCUUCAUUUGCGGUCGCAUUAUUGUUUUUUGUUUUUGUUUUUCCUGAUUCACUUCUCUCUGCAUUUUCUGGGUGUGCCCCUUUUUAUGGCCAGCUUGGAGAUUUGCUCUGGAAGGAGUCAUUCAACUCACAAAGAACAAAGAAUAGAGACUAGACUACUUUAUCUUUCAUGCAAUGAUUCAGAUUUAUUGUUCUUAGUUUUCCUGUAGUGGUCAAUUUGAUUAUCUACUUUCCAAGAAAUAACAAUCACUCCUCUGUUGGUUGGAGGUUUCGAGUAUUCAGGUUGCAGGUUUCGAGUUGUUGUCGUUGAGGUGGGGCAGCAAAGAUAAUUAGCAGUAUGUAUAAUAACGAGUAGAACAUCCCUAUAUUAAUUUUGGAUUCUGGGUUCUGUUCAGUGAAAAUUUAAAAAUGGUGGGCCUGGUAAAACACCACAAUUUGCCUUGUGAGUCAAUAGGGACUUGACAAAAAAAUAUGCAUCACUCUCCAUUUAAUGUCCUAAAAACACUGGCAUGUUUGGAUCGAAUUUUCAUCUGUAUGUACUAGCCAUGGGAUAUUCCAAGAACAACAUGACUAUGCAUCAAGAAGAGGGUGACUAUGCAUCAGUUGUACAAUCAUAUGUCCAUGUGCUUCUUGUUUCAAUCGUAUAAAAUCUAGAGCUACCUUGCAAAACUGUUCUGAUUGCUAUGGAUUGAAAUCUAGAGCACCAUAUAAUACUGAAAUAGCUUUGGCUCUUCACACGAGGGAGUAAUAUGACAGUUUGCAUUCCUAAUUUUCUUUUCUCCCUACAUAUACAGAGUUUUUAGAUUCCAUUUGUUUGCUACUGAAGCUUAUAUUUUCCUUUUUCAGAAUUGAGUGCGUAUGAACAAUGCAACAGAGGUUAUGUUAAUUCCUAGAGCCUAAUACGUUCUUUUGUCUCUUGGUGAUUACUUCGAAUGGCUGUGUAAGAGUCCUUUCUUUUUCCACAAGGGGCAGUUGCUGUGCCAUUUGAUUCGAAGGACAAAGAGUUGAUCACAAAGGGGUAGCAUUCAGGAUAUAUACACAAAAGAGUAUAGAACCAAAUUAUAUGAUGUCAUUGACUACUAUUUCUAUUAACUUGUCCUGUACACAAUGUUCACGAGUUCAUGUAUUAAGUACAUUUUAUUGUGUCA